GGGUCGAUAGCUCAGUUGGUAGAGCAAGCGGCUGCAGUUCAAUGUAUCCGCUAGGUCCUGCGUUCGAAUCGCGGUCGGCCCU